GAUGAACGCUAGCUACAGGCUUAACACAUGCAAGUCGAGGGGAAACGGCAUUGAGUGCUUGCACUCUUUGGACGUCGACCGGCGCACGGGUGAGUAACGCGUAUCCAACCUUCCCAUUACUGUGGGAUAACCUGCCGAAAGGCAGACUAAUACCGCAUAGUCUUCGAUGACGGCAUCAGAUUUGAAGUAAAGAUUUAUCGGUAAUGGAUGGGGAUGCGUCUGAUUAGCUUGUUGGCGGGGUAACGGCCCACCAAGGCGACGAUCAGUAGGGGUUCUGAGAGGAAGGUCCCCCACAUUGGAACUGAGACACGGUCCAAACUCCUACGGGAGGCAGCAGUGAGGAAUAUUGGUCAAUGGACGGAAGUCUGAACCGGCCAAGUAGCGUGCAGGAUGACGGCCCUAUGGGUUGUAAACUGCUUUUGUAUGGGGAUAAAGUUAGGGACGUGUCCCUAUUUGCAGGUACCAUACGAAUAAGGACCGGCUAAUUCCGUGCCAGCAGCCGCGGUAAUACGGAAGGUCCAGGCGUUAUCCGGAUUUAUUGGGUUUAAAGGGAGCGUAGGCUGGAGAUUAAGUGUGUUGUGAAAUGUAGACGCUCAACGUCUGACUUGCAGCGCAUACUGGUUUCCUUGAGUACGCACAACGUUGGCGGAAUUCGUCGUGUAGCGGUGAAAUGCUUAGAUAUGACGAAGAACUCCGAUUGCGAAGGCAGCUGACGGGAGCGCAACUGACGCUUAAGCUCGAAGGUGCGGGUAUCAAACAGG
rnacentral:rRNA from 1 species